rnacentral:lncRNA from 1 species
GCACAGAUGCUGCUGCUAUAGUACUUUCAGGCAAGGCCAAGGCUUCUUGAAAGGCUGGUCAUGCCCCAGUGAUCAAUGAAGAACUCAGGGAUAUCCCAAAACUCAGGACUAUAAGGCACAAUGGGGGAGCAGGUACCAGGUGGCCAGCAUCCUAAAUGACUCUCAGCAGCUGCAGAGAAGUAUAGAAUGCUGGGGCCCUUCCAUUACUCCAUGCACUGGGGAAGAACUAGAAUUGUGAGAAGAGCUUUCACGCUCCCAUAACCAUUCCUUGGCCCACCUCCAAGAAAAGGCAGGCUGGCCUCUGUUUAGGUGUUGUCUGUGCUUGCAUUCCCAACGUUGACAUGAGGAAUUAUCAAUGGGUUCCGGACAUAAUCAGCCACACGGCAGAGUGAAUUCCAGGAGUGUAAAUAACAAGAGCUGCCUAUAAAUCUACCUCAGAAGACAAAGGGAAAAGCAAAACUCUGCCCAGGAAGACCUUACUUUACAAACCAGCUCAACCAUAUUUACCAGCCUUCCUGUGGUCAUUUGUCUGAGCUCCAGCUAGUGAAGUAUGAGUAGAACGGACAUGCACCACUUCCAGACCUGGCACCGGCAAACCCCCCAUGGCAACCCUCCAACCCUUUCCUCAACAACUGGACCACGCUGGAAAGGACUGAGGAUCUAGAGGAGGACAGGGCUGUAAUAUGGAAGGAGUUUGGUUUCUGAAGGACCAUGUAGCAGGCCACCUGCAGGGCGGGAACAUCUUUAAUAGGUUUGGAAUAGCAAGAAAUAAACUGGUCUUGUAUUAAACAACUAA